AUGACCAUGUUUGGCUUCUUGGAUGGCCUUUUGGAGUUGAGUGAACAUCUUGACAGAAGACUCUGAGAAGUUGUUUAACUGGCUCAGGAAAAAGGUCAAGCUUGUACGAAAAUGAUCGAAGCCGGCUAUCCAGUCUUCAGGAGAAUCAUCUCUCAGUGGGGUCUUAAGACCUGGUUCACCAUCGAUUCCAUGACGAUGAUUUCCACCCUUCCCUUGGUGCUUCUCUUGCCGAGGUAGGAGGUGAGAGAUUUCGGCAGCCAACCCCUUUAUAGCGUCUGAAACCUCCUUAGUAGGCAAUGAAUCAA
rnacentral:misc_RNA from 1 species